CUACCCAUCUGAAAUCUCUAGGGUUUUAUUUGAUGAUGAUGAUGAUUUCAUAUUGACACAGUAUACUAUUUCCCCGCUUGCUAUAGUUUGAUCUACCUUUGUCCAAUUCAAUAAAUUGUCUCUUCUUCUUCAGCUUAAAGUUUGAGAAUUUUCGCCCUUUUCUAAUCCCUCUCUGAUCCCCUUCUCGUGAUUUUCACUUCUUCCGUGUCAGGUAAUUUUCUCAUUUGUGUUUGUGUGGGCCGAUUUAAUGCUCCUCGUCCUCAGCGCAUUCAAUUCAUCAGCGGCGGGAGAAGCAUUAGCACCUCCAGCUGCUGCAAUCAAGCAUACAAAAACCUCAAUUUCUGGUUUUCUAAUUACAAUCAAGAUCAAGCAAUCUUCAUCGCUACAAAAGCAGCUGCUUCCAAAUCGUAUCGGCGUUGAUUUCGCAGCUGAUUGAUGGCGGCGCCGCGGAGUGUAGUGGUGGAUAGAGAUGUGGAGAAGAAUGCUGACUCUCCGUCGGAGAAGAAGUUGAAAGCGGAUAGAUUUCCUCUGUCGCGAUGGGAAUUCGCGGCGGCGCUGGGGGUGUUUCUGGUAUUUUCUACUGGAUUGGUGUGCAUUUACCUCACGAUGCCGGCUGCGGAGUAUGAAUUGCUAAAGCUUCCCCGCACGCUCUCCGAUCUCCGAUCGCUCAAGGAUCAUCUUGCAAUUUAUGCUCAGUUACACCCAGCAAAGUUCAUUCUUGGUUAUUGCUCGACUUACAUAUUCAUGCAGACAUUCAUGAUACCUGGGACGAUUUUCAUGUCAUUACUAGCUGGAGCACUUUUUGGCGUAGUCAGAGGUCUUUUCUUGGUAGUUUUCAACGCCACAGCAGGCGCAUCAUCCUGCUAUUUUUUGUCAAAACUUAUUGGUAGGCCUAUUGUCAACUGGCUGUGGCCUGAAAAACUGAGAUAUUUCCAGGCUGAGAUAGCAAAGCGGAGAGAGAAGUUGCUGAAUUACAUGCUCUUUCUGAGAGUUACUCCAACAUUGCCAAACCUGUUCAUCAAUCUGGCAUCACCAAUCGUGGAUAUACCGUUUCAUAUUUUCUUUCUGGCAACUGUCGUUGGUCUCGUCCCAGCUUCCUAUAUUACUGUCAGGGCUGGGAUUGCUCUUGGUGAACUGAAGUCACUGAAAGACCUCUACGAUCUUAAAACGUUGGUCGUGCUUUUCCUCAUUGGGUCAAUUUUAUUACUUCCGACCAUUUUGAAGAGGAAGCGGGUUUACGAGUAGAGCUUUGUGUACAAUUACUCUGAUCCUCGUGGAUGACUGAAUGAGAGAGUUCUUAUGCUGGUUUUCUGCCUUGAUUGAGACCAACCAAGCUCUCUCGUUGCUGAUUCAGUGAUUCUGCUUUGAUAGGUGAAUCAGAAUGUAAGUGUCUCGAAGAUAUGAUAGCCACACGGCAAUUUGAUCACCGGAAGGGAGCCUCUACCAAGUAUGGAAGCUAUUGGAAUCAUAGGGAGUGCUAUUGGGAUUCUGGCUAAAGAUGGAGUUCAGUUAGUUGGCGAAAAGAAGGAAUCAUGUCUAAUGCCAAUAUUCUUAUCAGCACCGCAAGGCUCCAGUCCACUCUCUAUGUGACACCAAUCAGGGCUACUCACAGUAUGGUGGCCUUCACCCCUUUGGUGUUUCCUUUCUGUUUGCAGGGUAGGAAAAGAACUACGGGUUUCAGCUUUACAUGAGUGACCCGAGCCGCAGCAAUCGGGGGAAACAACCAAGCUGCACAAAGACGACAUCACCAGAGAAGAGGCCGUUCAGCUUGCUAUAAAGGUGCUCAGCAAGACCAUAGACAGCACGAGCCUCAACUUGGAGAAUCUUGAAUUGGCCGAGAUAUUCCUUUCUGCUUGGAAGGUGAAGUUCCAGAUGUGCCCUUGUGAUAAGCUUGACAAGAUGUUGGUAAAGUCGGGAUUAACACAAACUUUUGCAGACGCUUAGUGAGUUUGAUCCGUACGUACAUCUGCCUCCCAUCUUUCAAGUAAUGUUGCCACUUUGCAAUAGCUUUUUAUGUGUUUGUGCUCUGGAAAACCAAGUGUUUUUUGCUCUGUUUGAUCCAUUGUCAUUUUGCUUCUGCAAAUGAGUUAGCAGAAAUGUGGGACAUUAAGGCUGAUUUUCUUGGAGUAACUCUUUGCAAUAAUACUGUAAUUGAUCCUAGUGAACAUAAA